ACUCAAUAAAACUCAAUAUUUAAACCCUUUGACCGUUGACUAAAUCUCGCAUGACUUGCCACAUAGAACGUGUGCAUCUACUUAAUCAACUUUAUACAAAUUUAAGUGUUUACUUAUACACACCUAAAGUUGGAGGACGUAAAUGUCACACGAGACCAAGUUAAAGGGCACAUUUAUGUAUUAUGCCUUCACUUAACUAUCCCUAUUGAAUAAAUGUCUCUUGAAAAUUGAAUACUAUUAAGAAGAUAGGGUAUAAGGGUAUAGUUGAAAAAAAAAACAUACUAAUUUUUGUUUUGGAAUUCCUAAGGCAACACUUAUUCUGUGAUCAUUUUUUUUUUUUUUUUGGCUAAGGUGACACAUAUUUUGGAAUGGAGCGAGUAACUCACAAUAGGGAAUACUUGUGUCCCUAUUAUUGUCCUAUUUUGUUGUAGUUACUUUUCCUUCCAAGUUUGAAGUUGUUUUAGGAAAUCGUAAACUUAAAAUCCUAUAUCCUCCUUUGUGGCAUUCAAUAAUACUAGGUAAACUUAAAGAAAGGAAGAUAUCUACGAGGUUUAUCAGAAACAACCUCUCUACCUCCACGAGGUAGAGGUAAGGUCUGCAUAAACUCUAAGUCCCCGAACCCCACUUGAGGAUUUACAUUGGGUUUGUUGAUGGUAUGUGCGAGGUCUAUCGGAAACAACCUCUCUAUCUCUACGAGGUAGAUGUAAGGUUUGCAUAAACUCUAGUCGUCCCCAGACCCCACUUGUGAAAUUACACUGGGUUUGUUGUUGUUGUUGUAAACUUGAAAAAAGAAUGGUAUCUACGAGGUCUAUCAGAAACAACCUCUCUGUCUCUACGAGGUAGAGGUAAGGUCCGCAUAAACUCUACCUCCUCAGACCCCACUUGUGGAAUUACACUGGGUUUGUUCCUUUCAAAUUUGAAGUUGUUUUAGUAACUCGUAAACUUAAAAUGCUAUAUCCUCCUUUCCGGCACACAAUAUUACUAGGUAAACUUGAAGAAAGGAUGGGUAUCUACGAGGUUUAUCAGAAACAACCUCUCUAUCUCUACGAGAUAGAGGUAAGGUCUGCAUAAACUCUACUCCUCAGACCCUGUUAGAGUUUGUGACCCGAAUUUUGUUGAUCCUGUUCUGAAAAGAUCGCGGUGCAACCCAUGUUUGAGAUUUUUUGGGGGUCUGUGGUGGUAGCGGAGGGAUCGGGCCAAUGAUCCCAAUAGGCCAGGGGGUUAGGAUUUAUUUGUACCACUGAUAGGCCGUACCUGUAUGUUUUGGAGCUUAUGAUUUAUUUAUAUGCACAUAUUAUAUAAGGGCAUUUAGUGGGUCGUUUUUGGACUGAAAAAAUACAUAUACGUCAUUGAGACUUUCAUCUCCGAAUUGUAUUACUCUCCAGUAUAGUGAAUUUCUUCCUCCUCUACCCAUGGUUUUUCUCGUCAAGGGUUUCCACGUAAUCAUCUUACUUUUUCUUUUGCUUAUCAUAUUGCUUAUCAUAUUGCUUUUUGAUUUGAUAACAGACCCACUUGUGGAAUUACAAAGAAAGGAUGCUAUUAUAAAGGUAUGACCACAUACUUGAGAAACUGCAUGGUUAAAGCUAAAAGAAGUAUUAAAGCAUUUCUUGUGAGCUAAUAUGGCAUUGUUCAUGUAUGUUUACAGGGUUUUCAUUUCUCUUUUGCUGCUUUUGGUCCAUAGCGAGGUGACCGUGGAACAAGCUACGCACGGCCCUCUACGCAGAAUCUGUACAACAACUAGGUUUAAUAGUGGUUCAACGCGUAUACCUCCUUGUCUUGACAAAGAAGACGAUUCUGCUUAGGAGGGGCCUUGUGUAGCUUGUGCCACAGUGGGCAGUCCGGUGCACUAAAGCUUCCGCUGUGCGCAGGAUCCGGGGAAGGGCUCCACCAUGAAGGUGUAACGUACACAACCUUACUUUGCAUUUCUGCCGGAGGCUGUUUCCGAGGCUUGAACCCGUGACAUCCUGAUCACAUGACAACAACUUUACCAGUUAUUUCAAGGUUCCCCUUUAGCUUGUUCUGCAGUCACCUCAAACAAGACUAAAAGCAGCAAAAGAGGAGUGAAAACCCUGUAAAGAUGCAUGAACAUUGCCAUAUUAGCUCAACAAGAAAUACUUAUGUCUUUCUUUAGCUUUAACCAUAAAGUUUCACAAAUAUGUGCCCAUAAUAGCUUUAUAAUAGCAUCGUUUCUUCAACUA